GGGCCGCACGCGCGCUACACUGACGGAGCCAGCGAGUUUAACCUUGGCCGAGAGGUCUGGGAAAUCUUGUGAAACUCCGUCGUGCUGGGGAUAGAGCAUUGUAAUUUUUGCUCUUCAACGAGGAAUUCCUAGUAAGCGCAAGUCAUCAGCUUGCGUUGAUUACGUCCC
rnacentral:rRNA from 1 species